rnacentral:lncRNA from 1 species
AGACUGAUAAGUUUAGGUUGCAAGUCAUGUCUUUCUCAAAAUGUAAGAAACAGUGCAACGCCACUUUUGUUUCUUGCUUCUGUAACUCGCUUCUUACCUCACAUAAUUCCUGCCUUAAAAUGUUUAAAAGUAGGAAAAGCCCUUUGUUUGGGGCUCAGACUUUCUGGACAUAUGUCCAGCUGGGCCAGUGAUGACCUUAAUAGACUCUCCUGAACCUUUUUUGGUCUCUCCAGUCUUUGAUUGUCCUGUAACAUUUCUGGGGGCUUAUCCGGGAUUGGAGAUGGCAGAUUUUCUGUCUUCUUUGCCUGUGGGCUAGAGCCCCAGGAUGUGGGAGAUCUGGGGUCCUUGGCACCGCUGGGAGAGUUUCAGCCUGGAAGGAGAAUGGCCCUCCCGCAUUCCAGAGCCUUCCCCUGACAGCACCAAAGGAACCAGUGGAAAGGGUUGCAGGACAGUCACAGGAGCAGUGCACAGACAUCUGAACCAUGUUGCAGGUAUCAUACCUUGGGUUCUUCAUAGCCAGCUGAAACCAACAGCAGCCACUGCCCAGGACCAGUGGACCAGUCAACAAUACCCAGACCACCCAACACGGCUGAUCCUACAGUGAAAUCAAGCCACUGCUGACAAGAACAACUGAACAACUGCCCUGCUCCAACCACACCAGAGGCUGGGUCAGUCCACGCAUGGCUGAAGCUUAAGGAAACAUCGAGCCCUGUUCUAGUCACAACUGGAAGCUGACUAGUCUACGCAUGGCUGAAGCCUGAGAAAGUCAAUGAUAGAUAAGUAAAUGUGGGUUGAAUUUACAAACAUAGUUAUACUCUUACUUGUACUGACUAUUUUGCUGUCAUGUUAUCUUUGCAAAUGCUGCCAAGCUUGUUGCCCAGAGGGGUGCCCAUGCAUAGUAUAAGUUUAAUCAUACUAGUAAUACUAAAGCCACUGACACUUUCACCUAUGGUUAUAAAUGGGGACCAAGAUGACUGUCAUCACUGUAUGAUAGAAGCCUGGUCCGGAAAAGGUGUGACUAAAACUCUGUUAUAUCAGACCUACUAUGAGUGUACAGGGACUCAUACAGGAACUUGUGUCUAUAACCAGACUUGUUACUCAGUCUGUGAUCCUGGAAACAGGCAACCCUAAGUAUGUUAUGACCCAGAGUUCUUGCCCUGUGAUUUCUCAUUUGAAGUCCAAAUUGGCAAAUCCCUAAUGCCAUCAUAUACAAACCCCACAGAAACCGGGGUCAAUAAACUUGUAAACAAAACAGAAGUAUUCCCUUACUUGCAUAAAGGGCCUGUCUCCAUAUAUUUUGAUGCCUGCCAAGCUGAUGUAUGUGGAGGUACUAAUAUAGAAGAUCAAUGGCCCUGGAAGCCAGAGAACUGAUGCCACAGGACAGUUUUACCUUGCCUGAAUUUGAGGAACACCUGCAGGAUUAUAUUGGAUCUGUGGAACAAAAGCUUAUCAAUUGCUGUCUGAUAAAUGGAUAGGGGCGAGUGUAUUAGGAACAAUAAGGCUAUCCUUUUUCCUACUCCCACUGCAGCAAGGGAAAAAUCUAAGGUAUCUGGUCUAUGAUGAAGGCAGAAAAAGAGUCUGAAGAAAUGUGUUUACAAAAAUAAGUACUUGGAAAAAAUAAAUACUACCAUUAAAAGGACAUUGAAAUAGGGAG